GCUUGUGCAGGCUUCAGUGGGUACUGUGGCCUUUGUGGUGGGUUUGCUCCCUCCAUUAGUGUGACAACCACAGGUGGGACGUGUAGGCAUCCAAUGUCAUCUGGGCCUGUGGACCAAAGGUUUGUUGGGACUCUAUCCAGGGCACUGGGGGCAUCUGGGAUCCUUACCUCCUCAGUGGGAGAUGUCAUGUGCAGUAGUAGGGGCAGAGAGCAAAGAACAGAAGUAUAUUUGCGAGAAAGAGGGGUUAAUAACUGAACAUGGCCAUCAGCGGUGAAGGAGAUAGAAGCUUGUAGACGGGACAUCAGCACCUAGCAGGUUAAUAGGACAAGUAGAAGAGACAACAAACUGGGAGAGAAUGUCAGAAUCCACUCGCAAGAGCUUAGUUAGUGGGUUAUUUCGAGGAGUACCAUCAACAUCUACACAAGAGACAUCUGUGUCAGACAGGUAAGAGGAGUCAGGCAGGUCUUGUUCUCUGAGAACACUGCGGGCUGUGCCUGUGUCAACUAAAAAGCUAGUAGGAUGACCAUCUAUGGGUAGGACUACUGUAGCAAAAGGCCCCCCUUUAUCCCCUGUAGACACUGCCAUGACAGGGGUGUUAGACACAGGUUUGCCAGUUACCUAUUGUAAGAGAUCUAAAUGAGAUUGAUCGGGGCCAGUGUAGUGACGUGUGGGUGUUGUAGAGUGACUGACCUGUUGGGCUUGGCGUGUAGGGCGAUGUUGACUGGAUGCAUGACGGUCAUCUUGUUGAUAAUCAUCUGUAUCAUAAUUAUCAGGGGAAUUGUGAACAUGCGGGGUGGAGGGUUAUUAUCAGCUGGAGAUGGCUGAUAGACAGCUUGGGUAUAUUCCUGAGGAUGUACCUGUGGAGGGUAACCUGGCUGGGUGCACCCAUGUGUGACUGCAGGGGCAUUGGGAUAUAUAGUAUAGCUAAACACAGGAUUAGGUGGUCUGGUGGUCGGCUGUUGUUGUCUCUGCACCCUGGGGUGUGGACAAUCUUUCCUGAAAUGACCUGGUUGAUUACAAUUAAAGCAUGCCCUGGUCUGAGGCCUAGGAGUGUGUGUCAUGGGCUGCCCCUGUGUAGCUGGCACGGGAUAUUCUGCAGGAACUGGGGUGGGUCUAACUGUAGAACUAUAAAAGGAAAGCAUAAGGGGAUUACUUUUCCUUUGCGGCAGAUGGAGUGCAGAUUCGAGGCCUUUAGCAACCUGGAGGAGAGUGUCCAAAGGAAUAAUCGUAUAAUCAGGGCGGGAAAGUACUAAACCUUUCCUGAUGGCUUCUUUAAGGCCUGCAACAAAGGCAGCGGAUAACAUCUGGGUAUGUGCCUUGUUGUAUACACUGAACCCUAGAUCAGAGAAAGUUUGAGUCAACCGUGAGUGGUAUUUCUCUACAGACUCAAGUUUAUCUUGUAUAAUGUCAUUUUUACAGGUGGCUUGGUCAGCUAAUUUAUCCUGAGCCCAGGCUGGAAGCUGUUCACAGAAUGUGAUACCCAACUGGAAAUCCAUAUCUGUAGUGAGGAUGGCGUCAUUAAAACUACUUUCCAUAAUGGGCCAAUUGGCAUCCCCAGCUUUGAUUUCACAAAGACUAAACAAAUCCUGAGUAUGUCUUGCGAAUAUGGGCAACCCUCCGAAAGAAGGGCAUGGCCUGCUUCUAGGGGUCAGGGAGAGAGUUUACUAGAGUUGUGGCUUGGGACGGGUUGAAAGCCACAUACAUCGGGGGAGCCCCUUCCACGGUUGGUAAGGCGUGGUUGUGGCUGGCAGCGGUGGGCUGUCU
rnacentral:lncRNA from 1 species